rnacentral:rRNA from 1 species
UACAGAGGUCUCAAGCGUUGUUCGGAUUCAUUGGGCGUAAAGGGUGCGUAGGCGGCGCGGUAAGUCGGGUGUGAAAUUUCGGAGCUUAACUCCGAAACUGCAUUCGAUACUGCGGUGCUUGAGGACUGGAGAGGAGACUGGAAUUCGAUGGUGUAGCAGUGAAAUGCGUAGAGAUCAUGAGGGAAGACCAGUGGCGAAGGCGGGUCUCUGGACAGUUCCUGGCACUGAGACACGAAGGCCAGGGGAGCAAAACGGG